GACGAACGCUGGCGGCGUGCCUAAUACAUGCAAGUUGAGCGCUGAAGGUUGGUACUUGUACCAACUGGAUGAGCAGCGAACGGGUGAGUAACGCGUGGGGAAUCUGCCUUUGAGCGGGGGACAACAUUUGGAAACGAAUGCUAAUACCGCAUAAAAACUUUAAACACAAGUUUUAAGUUUGAAAGAUGCAAUUGCAUCACUCAAAGAUGAUCCCGCGCUGUAUUAGCUAGUUGGUGAGGUAAAGGCUCACCAAGGCGAUGAUACAUAGCCGACCUGAGAGGGUGAUCGGCCACAUUGGGACUGAGACACGGCCCAAACUCCUACGGGAGGCAGCAGUAGGGAAUCUUCGGCAAUGGACGAAAGUCUGACCGAGCAACGCCGCGUGAGUGAAGAAGGGUUUCGGAUCGUAAAACUCUGUUGGUAGAGAAGAACGUUGGUGAGAGUGGAAAGCUCAUCAAGUGACGGUAACUACCCAGAAAGGGACGGCUAACUACGUG
rnacentral:rRNA from 1 species